GACGAACGCUGGCGGCGUGCUUAACACAUGCAAGUCGAACGAUGAACCCGGAGCUUGCUCCGGUGGAUCAGUGGCGAACGGGUGAGUAACACGUGAGUAACCUGCCCUUGACUCUGGGAUAACUGCGGGAAACUGUAGCUAAUACCGGAUACGACCCUCGGCGGCAUCGCCAGGGGGUGGAAAGAAUGUCGGUCAAGGAUGGACUCGCGGCCUAUCAGCUAGUUGGUGAGGUAACGGCUCACCAAGGCGACGACGGGUCGCCGGCCUGAGGGGGUGGCCGGCCACACUGGGACUGAGACACGGCCCAGACUCCUACGGGAGGCAGCAGUGGGGAAUAUUGCACAAUGGGCGCAAGCCUGAUGCAGCAACGCCGCGUGAGGGAUGACGGCCUUCGGGUUGUAAACCUCUUUUAGUAGGGAAGAAGCGAAAGUGACGGUACCUGCAGAAAAAGCACCGGCUAGCUACGUGCCAGCCGCCGCGGUAA
rnacentral:rRNA from 1 species